rnacentral:misc_RNA from 1 species
GAUGAAGAACGUAGCGAAAUGCGAUACUUGGUGUGAAUUGCAGAAUCCCGCGAAUCAUCGAGUUUUUGAACGCAGGUUGCGCCCGAAGCCAUUCGGCCGAGGGCACGUCUGCCUGGGUGUCACGCAUCGUUGCCCCCCCAAACUCCGGUUCGGGCAGGGCGGAAGUUGGCCUCCCGUGCGUGCCUGCGCGCGCGGUUAGCCCAAAAGCGAGUCCUCGGCGACGAGCGCCACGACAAUCGGUGGUUUUUUUACCCUCGUUCCUCGUCGUGCGUGCCCCGUCGCCCGAACGCGCUCUUGCGACCCUUACGCGUCGCCUCGGCGGCGCUCCCAACGCGACCCCAGGUCAGGCGGGACUACCCGCUGAGUUUAAGCAUAUCAAUAAGCGGAGGA